rnacentral:tRNA from 1 species
UUUAUUGGCAGACUAGUGCACUAGAAUUAGAAUCUAAUCAUCC